rnacentral:sRNA from 1 species
AGAGUUAUAAGGAUUCAUCUGGGUACUGAAGACAUUUGGGACCUCAGUGAAGUUUCUCCGAGGCCAGAUGGUCACAUUGAUUUUCUGGAAUCAUUUUGAAUAAAAAUGAGCGAGGUGGUGAACGCAAUGCAAGGCUCUCCACGUACUGUCUGGUAUUGUUCAACCAGCUCCACGACUCCCUGAGGGCAGAGAUGAGCAGAUGUUAAUGGAUAAAGCCAGGCUGAAGAAAUGUUAACAAUCGGGAGUUUUGAAGGAUUCCAGGCUGUGUCUCUGAAGCAAGAGGGAGAUGACCAACCCUCUGAGACUGACCACCUAUCGAUGGAGGAAGAGGACCCGAUGCCAAGACAGAUUUCAAGGCAGUCAAGUGUGACCGAAUCAACUCUUUACCCCAAUCCUUAUCAUCAGCCUUAUAUCUCACGGAAGUACUUUGCUACGCGGCCGGGGGCCAUUGAGACUGCCAUGGAAGACUUGAAAGGUCACGUAGCUGAGACUUCUGGAGAGACCAUUCAAGGCUUCUGGCUCUUGACAAACACACCAAGGCAGGGAAAGGCAAAAACGACAACAAUGAGAACACAUAAACAAAAAUCCCAACUCCCCCAACAGCAACCACAAAACAAAAAAACUAAAGAAAAUAAACAAACAUGCAGGCCCAGAAAGAACGGAUCCAUUAAGCCAGCACCAAGGAGAACAUCUUGACACUUUAUGGAAUUUCAAAAAGUAUGAUAUGAUGGCAAUAAAGUGGCUCUUCAGCA